rfam:Actinoplanes awajinensis subsp. mycoplanecinus strain NRRL B-16712 P067contig67.1, whole genome shotgun sequence.
CCGGGCGCGUGCUCGCUGCCUGGCCCCUUCCUUGGCGUGCGUCGCUGGUAACGGCGGGGUGCGAAGCCCGGGGGAAAGCCGAAGGAUCUCCGUUCCAUCAUGGAGGUCACGGGUGAGGGGCAGACCGGACGGGUGAAUUGCGUGAACCUUCGUUGAGGCU